CUGCCACAGAAGGGAAGGAUGAAAGCAAGGGUCCGUGGCUGGGAAAAGAGCUGGAGGUGGAGGGAGAAAGAACAGACUGAAGCAGUGGGACGGACUCCUCUGCCACAAUAGCCACAUUCAAACAAGAGUGUGAUCUGCUGCUGGGUGAGCCAAAGCCAGAGGAGCCGGGUUCAGCCUGCCUUCAAAAGUAAGCAUGCGUUACUAGGCAUUCUGGCAGCUGCUGGGGCAUGGCUGAACCAGGGGUUCAGAUGAUGGUGCACUGAUAGACCCUGUCCAGCUCCAUCCCGCAGCCCUCACAACAAGAGCCACUCUCCCGGCUUCAAAGAUAUCUGACUCCAGCUCCAACUCGGAGCCAGCAGAGGCGUGUUCACAACAGCAUGUUUAAUCUGUGAAGAACUAAAGACUUCAAAGGCUGAUAAAUUUCUGGGCUGAUUGAAACAGCAACAAUGCAGCCACGUACCAGGCACAGCAGAAGGCUGCCCGGGGCCUGCACUGGCAGCCACUUGCCUGGUGUCAGUGUCAGGGGCAGCCAUCUGCUGUGCACUCUCCCCCACCACGCGUCAGGGCGUGCUCUAUGCGUCUCCCGUGCUUUUACCCACAGGUGAAGCCUCCGCAUGGGUUGUGCACCCUGCUCUCGACUACCCACCUUCCUCAGGGUGCGGAGGGACCAGAUAAAUCAGGGAGGGACAGGGGAGGAUACAGAGGGGCACCGGAGGCCACUUGGAGCCCACUUGUGGCCUGAAAUAAUUUGUGAGCUGGUGUGGAACAGCUCCAUCUGGUGAUUCCCCCAUACCAGCGCUCAGGGUUUCGUGCUGGUUUCAACCCAGCUUUGCCAAGGGCAGAAGGUUUGUGCGAGCAUGCCGAGCCCACACGUGUGCGCCACCGACAGCCUGUCAUCCAAACAAUCCGGGCAGGGGUCCUUAAGGACCUGCCGUGGCAACUGGUGCUGGGAUGGAGGAGCAAGGUGUCCCUGAUGCUUUUCCCCUGAGGGAGAGCUGUCCCUGCGGAGGUGUCAGCAAUCCCUGGGGCAGGCGAGGACUCUUCUUCCCAGGAUGAAUUGCAAGGACAACUCUUCUCCCUUCUUGUCCCCAAGACUCAGGGGAUGCACCCACCUUCCUCCUUGUGUGAGCGAAGAGGAGGGAAGGGCAGCUGAGGAUUAUCUGCAAUCCGGGAGCAGUUCUCACUCAAGGCACAGGAGCAGGCGGGAUUCUCCCCAGCGCCCAAAUCCUGCCAGCCCAGGGCCAGAGGCGAGGCACAAAGCUCACCUUUCGGGGGA